rnacentral:rRNA from 1 species
AGUGAACGCUGGCGGUAGGCCUAACACAUGCAAGUCGAACGGCAGCACAGUAAGAGCUUGCUCUUACGGGUGGCGAGUGGCGGACAGGUGAGGAAUACAUCGGAAUCUACUUUUUCGUGGGGGCUAACGUAGGGACAAUUACGCUAAUACCGCAUACGAACUACGGGUGAAAGCAGGGGAUCUUCGGACCUUGCGCGAGUGAAUGAGCCGAUGUCGGAUUAGCUAGUUGGCGGGGUAAAGGCCCACCAAGGCGACGAUCCGUAGCUGGUCUGAGAGGAUGAUCAGCCACACUGGAACUGAGACACGGUCCAGACUCCUACGGGAGGCAGCAGUGGGGAAUAUUGGACAAUGGGCGCAAGCCUGAUCCAGCCAUACCGCGUGGGUGAAGAAGGCCUUCGGGUUGUAAAGCCCUUUUGUUGGGAAAGAAGAGCAGCAGGUUAAUACCCCGCUGUUCUGACGGUACCCAAAGAAUAAGCACCGGCUAACUUCGUG